rnacentral:rRNA from 1 species
CCUACGGGAGGCAGCAGUAGGGAAUCUUCCACAAUGGACGCAAGUCUGAUGGAGCAACGCCGCGUGAGUGAAGCAGGGUUUCGGCUCGUAAAGCUCUGUUGGUAGUGAAGAAAGAUAGAGGUAGUAACUGGCCUUUAAUUUACGGUAAUUACUUAGAAAGUCACGGCUCACUACGUGCCAGCAGCCGCGGUAAUACGUAGGUGGCAAGCGUUGUCCGGUUUUGUUGGGCGUAAAGCGAGUGAAGGAGGUUCAAUAAGUCUGAUGUGAAACCCUUCGGCUCAACCGGAGAAUUGCAUCAGACACUGUUGAACUUGAGUGCAGAAGAGGAGAGUGGAACUCCAUGUGUAGCGGUGGAAUGCGUAGAUAUAUGGAAGAACACCAGUGGCGAAGGCGGCUCUCUGGUCUGCAACUGACGCUGAGGCUCGAAAGCAUGGGUAGCGAACAGGAUUAGAUACCCUAGUAGUC